GGGGCCAUGCAGCAGUGCCAGCUCUGCGGGGGUCCGGGCGUUACCGGUAACACCGGGGCAGCUCAAGCGGAGCAGCCAGAAGCGCCUCCAGCAGCAGCAGCCUGCUGGGACCCCGGGCCGCUGGGGAGGGGUCCCAGCCCCGCGUGCCGGUGUGCAGCCCCCGUGCUGGCUGGCUGC